CGAAAGCCUGACGGAGCAAGACCGCGUGAGGGACGAAGGCUCUUGGGUCGUAAACCUCUUUUCUCAGGGAAGAACAAAAUGACGGUACCUGAGGAAUCAGCAUCGGCUAACUCCGUGCCAGCAGCCGCGGUAAUACGGAGGAUGCAAGCGUUAUCCGGAAUGAUUGGGCGUAAAGCGUCCGUAGGUGGUCUUUCAAGUCUGCCGUUAAAGGUCGGGGCUUAACUCCGAAAAGGCGGUGGAAACUGAAAAACUCGAGAUAGGUAGGGGUAGAGGGAAUUCCCGGUGUAGCGGUGAAAUGCGUAGAGAUCGGGAAGAACAUCGGUGGCGAAAGCGCUCUACUGGACCUGUUCUGACACUGAGGGACGAAAGC
rnacentral:rRNA from 1 species